GCAUAUCAAUAAGCGGAGGAAAAGAAACCAACAGGGAUUGCCUUAGUAGCGGCGAGUGAAGCGGCAAUAGCUCAAAUUUGAAAUCUGCCAACAGGCCGAGUUGUAAUUUGAAGAAAGCAAUUCUGGAUGUGUCUUUGCUCAAGUUCCUUGGAAUAGGACAUCAUGGAGGGUGAGAAUCCCGUGAUGCGAAGGUAGCACGUCUAUGUAGAAUGUUUUCGACGAGUCGAGUUGUUUGGGAAUGCAGCUCAAAGUGGGUGGUAAAUUCCAUCUAAAGCUAAAUAUUGGCGAGAGACCGAUAGCGAACAAGUACUGUGAAGGAAAGAUGAAAAGAACUUUGAAAAGAGAGUGAAAAAGUACGUGAAAUUGUUGAAAUGGAAGGGCUUGAGAUUAGACAUGGUGUUUAGUGUUCCACUUUCUUUUGGGAAUGUGUACUCGCUUUACACCGGGCCAGCAUCAGUUUUGAUGGGAGGAUAAAUGGUAUUGAAUGUGGCUGCUUGCAGUGUUAUAGCUUUAUCAAAUACUUCCAAUCGGGACUGAGGACCGCGCAUUUGCUAGGAUGCUGGCGUAAUGAUCUUAAGCCACCCGUCUUGAAACACGGACCAAGGAGUCUAUUGCCUAUGCGAGUGUUUGGGUGUAAAACCCGUACGCGUAAUUAAAGUGAACGUAGGUUGGGGCCUUCGGGUGCACAAUCGACCGAUCCUGACGUUUUCAGAUGGAUUUGAGUAAGAGCAUAGUUGAUGGGACCCGAAAGAUGGUGAACUAUGCCUGAAUAGGGUGAAGCCAGAGGAAACUCUGGUGGAGGCUCGUAGCGGUUCUGACGUGCAAAUCGAUCGUCAAAUUUGGGUAUAGGGGCGAAAGACUAAUCGAACCAUCUAGUAGCUGGUUCCUGCGA
rnacentral:rRNA from 1 species